rnacentral:tRNA from 1 species
UGCGGCUGGAUCCCCUCCUUUCUAAGGAUGCCGGACGAUGGGUUAGCCCAUGGUCUGGUGUUUUUGGACCAAGCGGCUCGGAUCUGCUGCCGCCGCCUGCGCAUCCCUUCUUUCCGGAACAGAGGACGGACGACAGUCGACGGAAGGUCGGCCGUCCUGCGGCCGUCCUUUCCUUCGACCGGGCUAGUAGCUCAGUUGGUUAGAGCGCGCGCUUGAUAAGCGUGAGGUCGGAGGUUCAAAUCCUCCCUGGCCCACCACCCAGAUGCCAGAUGACAGGUAUCAGGGAUCAGGCAGGGCGUUUCUGAUCCCUGAUGCCUGUCAUCUGUCCUCUGGGUCGGGGCUGUAGCUCAGUUGGGAGAGCGCCUGCUUUGCAAGCAGGAGGUCAUCGGUUCGAUCCCGUUCAGCUCCACCAGGGCUGGGCGGUUCCGGAAAGGAAACAGGUUUGGACGGGAGUUUGGCCAGCGAGCCUUUCUGGCUUCUGGCGUUCUGGCUUCUGUCCUCUGCUCUUUGACAUUGUGGAUAGGUUUGUGUGGCCGGCCUUUGGCGGGGUCUUUGGCGAGGGAGUGAUCUCUCGCUCGUUAUCGCCUUGUUCGGUAGAAAAGAAAUGCUGAGUGUGCCGUUCGACUCCUGCGGUGCAAAGCGCGGUUGGCUUCAGCGGAGUCCCUUGCCAAUCGAUUCACGCGUCUAACGACAUUGGGUGAAAGCCUUGGACCUCAGAGCCAAUGAUCCGUCUAUCGCGCCGCAUUAAACCCACUGGAGGGGCGAGCGCACGUUGUUCCUCGGAAUUCCAAUGGGUA